UACGGAGGGUGCGAGCGUUAAUCGGAAUUACUGGGCGUAAAGGGUGCGUAGGUGGUUUGACGAGUUGACUGUAGAAUUCCUGGGCUCAACCUGGGCAUGUCGGUUAAUACUGUUGGACUGGAGUAGGGGAGAGGGCAGUGGAAUUUCCGGUGUAGCGGUGAAAUGCGCAGAUAUCGGAAGGAACACCGGUGGCGAAGGCGGCUGCCUGGCCUUAUACUGACACUGAGGCACGAAAGCGUGGGGAGCAAAC
rnacentral:rRNA from 1 species